rnacentral:misc_RNA from 1 species
GAAAUGUGAUAAGUAAUGUGAAUUGCAGAAUUCAGUGAAUCAUCGAAUCUUUGAACGCACCUUGCGCUCUCUGGUAUUCCGGAGAGCAUGCCUGUUUGAGUGUCAUGAACUUUUCAACCCACCAGUUUCUUGUCAGACUGUGAUGGUGCUUGGUUUCUGAGUGUUUGCUAGGGUAUGGUCUUUGGACCGCUAGCUCACUCGUAAUGCAUUAGCAUCUCGAAUUCAGAAUUUCGGAUUGACUCAGCGUAAUAGACUAUUCGUUGAGGACACCCUUGUAAUUGGGUGGCCGAAGUUGUGAUAAAUGUUGAUGGCUUCUAAUUUUACUAGUCAUGUCUUUUUCAAAAAUUUAGACCUCAAAUCAGGUAGGAUUACCCGCUGAACUUAA